rnacentral:tRNA from 1 species
UCUGGGGCAGCACAGUGGAUAGAGCACCUGACUUGGAAUCAGGAAAAAUCUGAAUUCAAAUCCAGUCUCAGAC